rnacentral:lncRNA from 1 species
AAGAACCUUGAAAUAUGUAUUACGCAUGAAUUCGCUUCUCUGAUUACGUGCCACAAAAUGUCAGUUGCCGCCUGCCGUGCCGUGCCGAGCCGUCUGGUUCUGGUUCUGGUUGUGGUACUUUUCUUCAACCUGUUCUCGACCGCUGUCCACUCUGAAGGUCGCGCCGCGCCGGGUUCUUUAUGGCACACAGCGCAAUGUAAUUUGUUUUAAAGAUGUUUGCACAGCGCCUCGUCUGCAAUUGGAUACCCAGCAAAGAGCAGGGUAUAAUGCGUUAGUUGGCACACUCAGCAUCCGCCAAUGCUGGUCUGGAAUAAAUGUCGAAUAUCUCAUACAGAUCCCAGCCAGAGUAUGAAGGGAUCGGCUCUCCUCCACCCGAGUUGCAGUUGCGCGUUGAUUUGGCUGUUGCGUAAGCAGCUAGAGCCGCCUUUGGCAUGGUCUUCGGUCUGGUCUGGUCUGGCCUGGUCUGGCCUGGC